GCUAUACUCAGAAGCUCAGCACUGCCCUCGCCCUUAAUUCCAACUUGGCCACAGAUAUGAAGCUGAAGAGCUCUGUGGCAACCUGUUCUAACAACCAGAGCUCUACCUUCCCUGAAGCCUCAAGGUCCUACAUCAUCUCUUGCUCCUCAGGCUGAAAAUGUAAGGAGGAAACCUGUGGAAUCCCAGGAGAAGCUCAGGGAAGGAGUGAGCAAACCAUCUGUCUGGGAUGAUUGUGAUGCCAUUGUGCCUGGGACCAUCACAUAUGACAUUUAAGGCUCCUUUCAGCUUCAUGUUUCUUUAAAGUUGGAUGAAAUGAUUUGGCAUUUGCUCAUCUGUUUUUCACACUCAUGGGAUACAAAAUGGACAGAACGGCCUAAAAGAUGCAUUCUUAAAAAUCCAUCCUGACCCACAAUUUCACUGUUACAUAUUUUCAAAGCUGUGAUCCAAAACUGCAAGGAAAUCUGAGUCCCCAGACUCUGGCCUUCAGUUCACCAUUCCAAAUUCCAUUGAUUCUAAUGCUUUCCUCUCCAUUAUCCACUGCUACACCACCACUGCAGCCCCAGUCUCACUGCCUGUAGCUUGGACAACUACAAUGGCUCACUUCAACACAAGUUUCUGUGACUGCCCAUCAGCUACCCAAAUCAAAACAGCUGGUCUUCCAAGGUUGAUUGGAGUAUGAGAACCCUAAAUAUCUCAAAAAAAAAAAAGAAGAAGAAGAAGAAGAAGAAGAAGAAGAUGGUAGAAUAGAAAUUAAACUUCACUCACUGAACUACAUCCAGGAAAAAAGCUGCCAUAUUCCUGGGCUGCUGUGCUGGACUGCAAUGCCUAAUCUGGGGACUCAGUGGACAAGCCCACUCUGGCUGCAAGAAGAGUAGGGAAGGAAGAUGAAGUCCACAUGAAGAUACAGCACAAGCCGCUUGUUGAAUGUGGAGAGUAUAGUACCUACCCAACACAGUGGAAUAAGCAGCUUCCCAAUGGUGUGCUGAGUUUUACUGCAAUAGCUAUCCUUCCUUGUUCCAUAUGUCCUUGGAAACAAAGGCAUACAUUUCCAAGCCAGCUGGCCUCAACUAGCAACCUGGCUUAGCACUCAUGAAGGAGGAGUUGAAGAUACAGCGAGCAUAGACAUUUCCCAUUUAUUCUCCCUUCCUUAAAUUCACCCUGGCACCCACGGAAAUUAGAUGGGUUUACUCCUUGAAACUCUCCCAGGAGUAAAGAGCAACGGUUCACAGCUGCUAAAGCAAGGGCAAAGAAUUAUCAUUGGGACUGUGAUUUGUUUUAUUUGGUUUUUCUUUUUAAACCCAAACAGAGAAAUAUUAAGUGCAAGCCUAGAAGCAAGUCUGAAGGCUCAGUUUGCACAUUCUGGUCAGUCAUGGUUUCUUGGUUUCCCAAGACCCUGGUGAAGCCAGCAAAGACCAUCUUGGCCUAAUUAAAUAUCUUCCCUGCACAGAAAAAAAAAGUAAAACAGUGAGCCAUCCCUUACUUUCAUCCACUCCACCAUAAAUCUGAGCUCAGUCAGACAAUCCAGCAAACCCUAUUACACAGAGUGGAGAGGCAAUUAAAUGGUGCCAGUUCUAGCUGGCCUCUAAGAAAUCGAUGACCCAUGGGCCCUCUUAGUAACCACACCAAUGCCUCUCUUGAAAAUGAGCGGAAAAAAUGGUCUAGAUACUAAAAAGAGACUCCACUUUGACAUUUCCUGGCAGGUCUGCUCUGGCCCAGUGUGUGGUACUUGCUAUAUUUUGUUCUUUUCUAUCUCUGGACACUGGAUGGGGCUGGUGGCUACAGAAGCUGCCCAGUGUGCUGUGGACACUCUAUUUUCCCCCCAUGUGGUCUACUUUGCUCAUGAUAGUACAUCAUUUGUCAUCCUUUGUACCACAUUUUGUAGCCAUAAAAAAUCAUUUCUUAAACAUUGCAUUUUUCUCUGGAUCUUUGCUAAAAUGAAGUUCCUUGAGUGGUCCAUUUUAAUGCCUGAGUGAUCAUGAUUUAGGCAAAGCUACAUACAUGUGCCAACCCCAAAUUCCUAGCCUCCUGGUCCAUCAGGCUCAAGCCAAUAGGACCAUCAUAUUUGGGGUCAUCGACUCAUAAUACAAUCAUCCAUUCCUUGCAAAAAGAUGAGACAAGUAGCUGCCUCUCCUCUUGCUAUUGGUUGAAUGUUUGUGUUCAAAGUUCAAAGUUAGGUUAAGCCUAACCCUCAACAUGAUGGUUUGGUGGGGAGGGGUCUUUGAGAGGCAAUUAGAUCAUGAAGAUGGAGACUUCAAGAAUAAGAUUAAUGCCUUUAUCCAAAAAGACCUCAGAAAGAUCCUUUGCACAUUUUCUUCCAUGUGAGGACCCAGUGAGAAGACAACUAUUUAUCAUAAUGUGCCCUCACCAGAUAUAGAAUCUGUAAGAGCCUUGAUCUUGGACUUAAAAAAUGAGAAAUAAAUUUUUUGUUGUUGUAACAUCCCCAGUUUAUGGCUAAGACAUCCUUCCGCUUCCAAAACAUUAUUCUCUCUCUCUUUAUACCACCUAUCCAAACUACUCCCCUAGUUAAUGUCCCCAUGCUCCAUGUAUUAGAGACAUCUGCCUCCCAAUCAAUUUGCAGACAUUACUCCAUCUCUGGGUUUAAAGUUUCAACCACAUUUCCCCUUUCUGAGAAAAGUGACGCUUGUGGUCAUUCACCCUUUCCCUGGCAAUAAUCAAAACCAUCCAAUGAUCCAUGGGAAGAUUUCCAAAGACUAAGGAGAAAAGUUGUUUCUGGAAGCAAAAUAAGAUCCUAUUAAUAUGAAGUAGACAACUGUAUGCAUUCAGGAAUCUUUCCUUAAGGUCUAACUUGGCGUCUCUUCAAAGCUGGAAGCUGAUAGGAUGCUUUCUUUCCUCAUCUUUCCAAAACCAUUAGGAUUAUCUGUUCAGCAGUGUAUUAACCAUUUUUGCUAGUUUUCUUUGGGUUCCACUUUUCAUUAAGAUCUAUCUUUGGAAAGAAGAUCAUCCUUACAUGGUCACAAGAUAAUUCCAGAGAAUAAAAUGUGUCAUGGUUAAGGCUAGCUUAGGGACUGUGCUGGGAGAUGUUAAAGUACAGCACCAAGUUGGAAUUACCUGGGUAUGGAUUUCUGUGUGUGUGUGUGUGUGUGUGUGUGUGUGUUUGUAUGAGCAUUCAUGCAUGUAAGAACACAAUAAUGCCUAUGUUAUUGCAAUGUACAGAUACAGUUGAGUCAAAUGUCCAAGAGGAAGAGCCAGUUGAGAUAAUAAUAAAAACAUAUGCCAAGCAACAGGAGUGAUCAAAAGAUAACUAACUGUUGAGUGUGCAUCUGAACACUUGUGUGUAUAUGCGUGCACCAGAGUGACAGGGUUAAUGGACAAUGACAAAGACAUGUAAGCAAGGUGCUAGCUCUGCUGCUGAGUCCUUCAGCUGGGAGAGUCACCUUACCCUGUAGUAAUCGGUGCUGUAGACAUCUCUGGACAUGCCAAAGUCUCCAAUCUUCACCAGCAGGUUGGCUCCAACCAGGCAGUUCCUGGUGGCCAGGUCCCUGUGCACGAAGUGCUGGGAGGCCAAGUACACCAUGCCUGAGGCAAUCUGACUGGCAAUGUGGAGCAUUUGAGAGAGCCCCAGCUCGCCCUUGGCUUGGCGUGGCUGCCCAUCCACGAGGAUCAUUGCAUCUGGCCCAUGGGCCCUGUGAGGAGGUGGGAAGGAAAGAGGGAGCAGAGAGAAUUCAGGAGAUCAAGGGGAAAGACCUUUUUGGUUCCCAAUCCUCUGGAAUGCUCCACAGAAAUGAGUGAAAUUCCCCUUUCCAAACUUCUAUACCCUAUUUCUACCUACCCCAAAGUACAUUAAAUGAAUAUGGGCAUGGCUGAAACUCUACAACCAGAUUCCCGUCGAAGAUGACAGAAGACAUACUCACAUGGAACUGGGAAUAAUCCCACUAUUUUUAACAUCUUACUGCUACAGAGGGGUUCCCCCAUGGGAUAGAUGCUUAUUAUAUAAUAAUUAAUAAAACAACAACUAACUUUUAUAUAGUCCUUACUAUAUGCCAAGCACUGUUCUGGUUGUUUUGAAUAUAUUCAAUUAAUCUGUCUACCCGGACUUUGAAAUUAAAAAAUUGAGAAAUAAAGAAAAUGAUCAGAUCAAUCGCCAAAGUUCCAGAGGUCUCAGAAUGGCUAUCUUGGUAAUCAGGAGACAGAAUUUAAAGCCAAACCUUGACUUAUAAAAGAGCACUUUCAAAGGGAGAAAGGAAUUUAAAACACAUUCCCAGGUCCCCGCCCACUAGGAUUCUGAUUGGCUGGGCAGAGCAUAUUCAUUUGCAUUUCCCACAAUUUCCUGGUGCUGAUAUAGGCCAGCAGUCUACACCUAGAAACCAUAAAUAAUAGGAAACUCGAGGGUCCUCACUCCUAACCACUCCAUCACACUGCUAGCCCUGGGUAACUCAACAACAACAGCAAGGCAAAAUGGAGAGACCCUCUGACUCUGCAGCACCUAGAGUACUCCAGCACCCCUUCCAUCUCAAAUUAGGGCCUGGAUUUGUUUUUCUAACAUCUCGACUUGUCAUAUCUGUCAUUUUUAGUGCUCACUCUUUUCUCUAGAAAGCCCAAUGAGCCAUAACCACACCGGGGGCCCUUAUUUAUGAAGCGGUGGCCCAACGAGCCCUGGUGUACAGCGAGGUCUCAGCCUGUUUUACUGCUUCUCCAGUUUCCAUUGAAAGGCACCAUUAAAUAUGAACACUCAUUUUAUUAUCUCCGGUGAGCUCCAACUACCUCACUCCUCAGAAGGAGGGCUGCUGCAUCAGCUGGCAAGCCAGGGGGUCACUAGGUAAGCACAACGCCUAUCCACCAGGAGGGCACUCUCCAGCCUGCCCCUAAAUACCACCAACUUGGAGAUAUGAGGGCAGGCACGGCCAACCUGGGGUCACGGAGGCUGUGUUUGGGAGAGCAGCAGUAAGUCAGCUCCCAGGAAAGGUUAGUGUGACCUAUUGCUAAGAGCUUCUGGCACCAGGGCAUUCUGGAGAAGUCUUGACUGAAAGAGCCUAGGGAGACAGAUUAAUGGCAUCUACUGGGAAUCUGGUUAGCAGUGGAGGCAAAAGUCCAGAUUACAUUGCAAAAAAAAUUACCCCCAAAACUCUGUUGGGCCUUGACUUUUGGAUAGAAUCCUCCAUGCUGUCUUCAGGAAAGGACUCCAGAGAAAAGACAGAGGCUAAAGAGUAUCAGCAAGUCCUUGGAGGAAUGUGCUCAUUGUCCAUGGAGACCAGGAGGUGAUCCAGUGCAGAAGCUGCCCCUCACCUUGUGCCUUCCUUUCUACUUCUUUUGAUCUGCUUUUACUUUUCUUAUUUUCUCCUGCUCCCAUUCCGUGCCUUUGCUCUCACUUCUCACUCUUUCCCUCCAUUCUGCUCCCUUGUUCUUUCUCUUCCCUUACAUUGGGCAGGAGAGGGAUACACAGAGACACACAGCCAGGAACACUCUUUAGCCCUGCUGGUGGCACUUCAGACUGAAAUACUGGGUCUAUGGAGAGGGUGUGGUGGAAAACGGAAUAUGCCCUCUGACCCCAGAAGAAUGAAAGCACAGGGAGAGGGGAACCCUGAUUAUUGGGAGAGAGUGAUUCCUAGAUUAGAAACGACCAUGAUGCGUAGCCAUAAUAGUAAUAGUAGAAAUGAUAGGAAUAAUUUUAAUAGUAGCAACCAUUGGCUGAACACUUAGCUACAUGAAAAAUCCAUCUAGGUAUUACAUAUAUAUAAUCAUCACAAUACUAUGAGUAGUGCAAUUUGCUCCACUUUUAAUUAACGUGACAAGACGUGAACCCCAGUUUGUUUUAUGCUAAGGACUGAGUUCUCCAGGAAAAUCCCAGUUUAGGAGGCUUUGGGCAUUCUACAGAUAUUUUUAAUUCUCCCAGGGUCUUUUUUUUUUAACCCAGAUUAUAAAAGAGCCCCAGAGACCCCUUCAGUCCAUUACUUGGUACCAACUCUUUGCGUUUCCGCCUCAAAACUAUGACACUCUAUGGAAUGUUGCACUUCAGGGGGAUGCUCAUCAUUUGUCGGUGAGUGGGUUAGAGCCCUGUAUACCUUACAUUUGAACUCUGGAAGUUUCAUUCACAGCCAUAAAAUUUGAUGGAAUUCAGCUAGUGGUGAGGCAGAGACCACACCCUAAGUGUCCAGACCUGAGAGUUCAACCUGCUUCUUGGGAAACUGGAUUUCACAGUUCCUCACACAUGGCUUCCCCCAUACCUAGGCACUAUGUGUGAGGUGACAGCAAUGGAAGGCUGUCACAGGAAAAUCUUAGUUCUUUUCUAGUGAGCUGCUGCCUUCCCUAGGGAAAGUGGAUUCUUCCCUGCAACUACAGCCUGAACUUCUGACUGGGGUGUCAGUUUCAUCCAAAGCUUCUCAAAGUCCAGGUAAUCCUUCUCCAGACUUGGAGAAACUCUUCCUAAAAAAAUAAUUUUAUAUGUGUGUGUGUGUAUGUGUACAUAUACAUAUAGAACAAUAUAUAUAACAGCACUAUCCAAUAGAAUUUUCAGAUAAUGGAAAUGAUCUGCACUGCACUGCUCAUUUGGCAGUCACCAGACACAUGCGGCUACUGAGCACUAGAAAUAUGGCCAGUGAGACCAAUAACUGAACUUCUAAUCUUAUUCAACUUUAACUAAUGUAAAUCCAACUUCAAAUAGCCAUCUGUGGCUACUGUCAUAGACAACACAACUCUAGAAUUUACCUGAGGAAAAUCUUCCUUUUUUUUUCCAACCAUCUCUGUCUUCUGAUGAAUUUUUAAUCUUGCACCCUCCUAUUCAUCUUCAAGAAGCCUCUGGCAAGAAGGUUUCCAGGAACGCUGCCCAGGAUUAGCCUUACUGUGCAAGUGAGAUGUGCAAGGCACAAAGGGGACAAGCUAUUUGCAGCAUUGAGAGAGGGUGGCCCUAGAGUCUUGGAGUUGUAAGUGACCCACUGGACUCUCCUGGGACCCAGUCCAGACUUUUCUUCUCAGCCCACCCUGGAAUCAGGAGAAAGAGCAUAGGCUUUUUAUCUUAGGGACAUAGGCCUUAGGCCAGCUGCUAAGGGGAUGAUGGAGAAGAAUGAAAGGGUGCAUCUCGUUUCCCAACCUCAGACUUAAGAGUUCAGUGGGGGGAGUGUGACUUCUGACUCUAGAGACAAUCUCAGGGGUUGGGGAGUCUUAGAGUCAGUAGAGAGAAAGACAGCAAUCCUAGCAUACCUGAGGAACUUGUUCAGGUCUCCAUGCUUCAUGUACUCAAAGACCAUGAUGAGGGGAUCCCCAUCACCGCACACCCCAUAGAACUUGACAAUGUGUUCAUGUUGCAGGUUGGUGAGCAGCUCGGCCUCCCUCUGGAAAUCCUUUCGGGCAGCCAGGGUGGGGUCCUUCAGGGCCUGCAAAUAGUACAGCAGCCUUUAGCAACCAGAGGCAGAGAGCUUUUCCCAUGGAGAAACCUGGCACCACACAUUGAUGGGUUCCCAAUAAAUGAGAUUUUAAAUGGAAUUUAAAAAUGAGGAUGCUAAGUCACUCUGUAAAGCACAACCCCACCACAUUCAGCAUUUUGAUCCACAUAAAAAAGAGAAACUCACUUUCUGACAUCCACAUCCCAUGUGCUGGCCAGUGAUUUUUAAACUGUGUUCAACUCAGAGUCCCUUGGAGUCCUCAGAGGUGAGUGUGAAUGACAAGGGAACACGGAUGUGAAAUGGAAAGCCUGAGAAAGCCCCUGUUCCUAAGGUUUUCUUUAAAGAAAUGGUCUCCCUGCUAACACAAACAGUGCAAAAACCACUGCCCCAGUUGCUUUAGCCUUGUAAACCAACACACCCAAAGCCUGCCAGAAAUCAGGCAGAUGAUCUAAUAGUUUCCUUGUCUGUUUGAAUCCUUAGUUUUCAAUGGUGAUGGAGUUCUCUAUUUGCCGAGGAGAGUAAGCACUUUGGCUUCUAAAAGACACUGAGUUCUCCUACCAACAGUUUGGAGCAAGCCCUGAGGGGUAAGUAGGGUGACAGCCAUGGAAUGGUAAUUAACAGACAGCAGCUUUAGAAGCAUCCAGGAUCAAGUAGAGAAUCACAAAGUCCUAGUACAGGAUGAGAAGGUGGACAUCUGGUGGCCACCAAGAUGCUACAACUCAGCCCUGUGGGGGAGGCAGACCCAGGUAAGAGGGGCAAGUACAGACCAAGCCCUGUCCUGGUCUAGGAAGAGACCCAGGGUGUGAGUUCCCAAUGUUGAUUUUUUAAGCACCAACAGGAGACCAUGUGACCAAAGCUGAAGACUUCAAGUGUAUCAGAGGAACCAUGGACAGGGCACCACCACCGGGAUGAGCAAUGCUGGUCAGGAUGGCUAAGGCCUGAGCAGGGGACGGUCCCUCUCCCAGAGGAGCAGCCUGCACAGGCACACUUGCACAUUUCCCCAUCCUCCCCAUAAGGUCAGAGGGCAAAUGAGGCCAAACAUCCACUUCCUUUAACUGACGAUGUAUGGUGUAAGUAUUGGGUGUCUUCCAAAAGCUCAUGAGUGAGACAAUGCAAGAGGGUUCAGAGGAGAAAUGUUUGGGUUGUGAGAGUCUUAACCCAAUCAGUGAAUUAAUCCCCUCAUAGGGAUUAACUGAGUGGUAACUGAAGGUGGGGAGGCUGUGCCUAGAAGAGGUGGGUUCCUAGGGAUGUGCCUUUAGGGUAUGUAUUCCGUUUCUGGCCAAUGAAGUCUCUCUGCUUUCUGGUCAUGAUAGGAGCUGCUCCCUCCAACACACUCUUCCACCAUGAUGUUCUGCUUCUCCUCGUGCCCUGAGAAAGGGAGCCAUCUGUCUAUGGAUUGAGACCUCUGAAACCAGAGACCGCAAGUAAACUUGCCUCCUCCACAAUUGUUCUGAUCAGAUCUGUUAGUCACAGCAGCAGCAAAAAUGCUAAUACAGACAGUUUAGUGACCUCGAUAGACACAACAAGACACAAUGAGGAAAUGAGUGUGGAAUUUCCUCACUUUCAGCGUUCGCUGCUUGCUUUGAGUGGUUACUUAUGAAUAAAGGAUGAGGCUUCAAGGCCCACCACAAGCAGAACAAAGACAUUUGCAAGCCAGAGAGUCAUGGUGCAGCUCCGGGUUGCAGCCCAGAGCUGCAUGAGUUGGGGCAUGGACACAGGAUGACUAAGAGUGAUUUAUUUAUUUUCAUGAAGAAGAAGUCAAAAAAAAAAAAAAAAGGAGCCCAGCAUGGGUGGGAUGGGAGAAUAUAAAGAUUUAUGUGAACGCUGGAUUUAUGAGAGGGAAAAAUAGAUCAAAUUUGGGGCCAGCCAAAUGGCCUCUCUCCAUCUCUUUAAAUCAUUCUCUCCCACAGUCUGGAUGUCAAUGGCAGCCAUGGGAUAUUUCCGUUCUCAGCUCUCCAGCAGUACCAGCCAGUGUCCCCCAGGCUGGCACCACACACUGCAUGGCAGAUGAGUUCCUCCUCGGAGAGAUGGAGCACAAAGCAACAGCUGUCUCUUCCAGUCUUCCGUGCCCUUUUCUCUGCCUUCACAUGGGGUUUUCCAGCAAAAUGGGUCACUGGUCAGUGGCAAGGGAGAGAACUGGUGUUUAUCAUCACCAUCAACCAUUGAUGCAGUGAGAGAGUCUUGCCAAGAGGGUCUUGAAGCCAGGGAGGCUCCGGCGAGGUCCUUUGAGCAAUAUCCAAAAGCAAAGAGAAGAACUGGAGUUUGCCUUCUUUAUCUCCUUCUUUUUCCUCCAAAGUUUGGGGACAUUUCUCUUUCUGCUCUUUCCCUCCAUGUGCAUCAGAUCUCAGGAGCAUGUGCUGCCCAGGGGAGGGUUUCAGCUGGGCUGCUCAGCAGGAUGGGAGGCAGCAGGCUAGGGGAUCAGAGCCCUGGCUGCUCAGUAGCUCCCAGCACCUUCAGAGCCACUUGAAAUCUUCAUCUUGUCCAGCCUAAGGGAUCUGCUGCCUUCCAUUUUUCUUUUAUUUUGUUGGGAGAAGCUAUUUGUAUGGAUACUCGGUUUCAGAUAUCAUUAAUGUCCUGAAACCCAUUUUAUUAUACACAGAGGGUUUUUGUAAACAUUCAACCCCUCACUGCCCACCCCCCACCCCCGUGUCUGUCUCUCUCUCUCUCUCUCUCUCUCUCUCUCUCUCUCUCUCUCUCUCUCCCCCUUUUAACUAUGAUAAUUACUUUUCUUUUAGUUCCUCAAAAGCCAUUGUCUUGUCCCCUUGGUAAGAUUUGCACAUUUACCAGGGAGGAGGAUUGGUAGUUACCAUAUUUACCUAUUUAAGCAUUCCUCUCUCAUCUCUUCUGGCUUAAAACUGGCCAUUGGCUUCCCAUUGGUUUUAGGAUAAAAUCCAAACUCCGUAACAUAGUCUUGGACUCUAAAUGUCUGGCCUCCUCAUUUCUCUCCACCCCUCAUUCAUUACACUUCAAUAUCACUGGCUUUUCUCUAUAUUUACACUUUAUGUUUUAAUGUGCCUCAGGUCCUUUGCAAUUGCUAUUCUUUUGUUGGGAAAAAUUCAUAAGUAUGCUAUAUCUUUAUGACUGGCCAUAUUAGCCAGCACCACCCAUAACCUCUGCAGAACAUAUUGACUGGUGCCCAUGAGCCCCUUAAUGCUCACUGAUAAUUGAAUACUCAGAAAGGUACUUCUCUGCCAGAGAGGAGUUUACCAAGAGUUGGCUAUGAUUGCCACCAAAUUCAUCCAUGAUAGUUAAACCUGUUAAAAUAAUCAUGUGAUACAAUGAAGAAACCACUUAAAUAGGAGUGCAGAGUGGGAAGUUUUUAUGGAAGCUAGGGUGAAUGCUUUGGAAAGACCUGAAAAAGGUCACCGAGUCAAAGCAUUCUUAGGAGGGGAGGGGAAACCUGCUAGAUUUUUUUAGAAAAUAAUACAGAUCUGAGAUUCUGCCCUCAGCUUGUUUUACAAAUAUUUUAUAUGACUGUUUCAAUUUAAAGCAACCAACACUAGAAAUCAUGAACACCCCAAACAAAAACAAAAUAACCCUCCGAACUAAAAGGGACCCAAAAGCUGAAGUUCAGACAUAUUGAAAGAAACAUAAUACUAAAUCCAAAUGACUAAAAUUGUCAAUAACCAGAACAUGAAUUUCCUGCAGAGCAGGCUCAUAAAGCUUUUUAAACAAGUAAAUGCUCCAAGAGAAUGAAAAAAAUAAUUAUUUUUCAGUAAGAAAGCAUGCAGUCAGAACAGGGAUAUAAAAAAUUAACAAAAUAUUAAGGGCCAAUUAGAUGUCUUAGAAAUAAACUACGUGGUCAUUAAGGUUAAAACAAAACCCUCCACAGACAGGAAAAACUCUAGACCAGAAAAAACCACAAGAAGUGUUUAUGAAUCUGAAGAGUACUGAGGUUCACUCAGGACAGGACACAGAAUGACAGAGAAAGAAAAUAAGAAAAGCAGAAAGACCCCAUUCACCAUCUGCAAGGAAGGGGUUUUUCUGGGUUUGAAUGCCCUGUAAGAGCUUGCUUGCCAAAUGACUAUUUAAAAGUGGCAUAACCAACUUCAAAACUCUGUGGAUCCCAUGACACAUAGACCCCAACUUAGGAUGCUUCAGCUUAAAAUGUUUUGACUUCACACUGGUUGAAGGGAUAUGAAUUCAGUAGACGCCUUCCUUUGUAUUUUGAUCAUUUCCCUGGCUAGCAAACGGGGUCCAAUCUCUCAUGGUGCUGGGCAGCAGCAGCAAACCACAGCUCCCAGGCAGCCACAGAAUCACCAGGGCAAACGGUACUCUUCAGGGUACUAUGUGGCUAAGCUUGGAUGUUCAGUGGGUUCAGUGAAUUCAAUUUGACUUAUGAUCUUUUCAACCUUACUUAUCAGUUUAUCGGAGCGCAGCUCCAUCAUAAGCUGAGAAGCAUCUGUAUUUUAACAUCACACACGCACCACAAGUACAGGCAAAUUGUGUCUGUCUUAUCCUGCUCUCCAUUUCUUUCAUAGGUACUCAUCUUGGCUUCCCAGCAGGCUGCAAACACCUUAAAAAUAUUUGUUUCCAUCAGAGCAACUGCUGGAGGAAAAAAAAAAAAAACUUGCCCUUUGAUUUAAAACCAUGAUUUUGAACAAACCUAAUCUUGGGUUAUACUUGCAAGUGUUUUCCAGAAGUGCAAAAUUACCCUAUAUCAAGACGGGAACAAACUCAAGAGGAAGGGGCCUGCAAAUAGGAGGAAGAUCUAAAAAGAACAGAGAGCAGGAAAGGCCAAUUCUCAGGGGCACUCUGGAGGAGAUAGGCAUGUCCUUCAGGGCUGCUCGCUGGGCGGAUCCACUAGGUGGCCAAUGGAGUAAAAUUCCAGAGUGCUUAUGUUCGUGAGGAUCCCAGACCCAAGGAGAGAAGGAAACCCCUUUAAAAGGAUGGAAGCAGCGGGGCUGUGGCUGGGGCUCAGUGGCAGAGCGCUUGCCUAGCAUGUGUGAGGCACUAGGUUCAAUCCUUAGCACCACGUAAAAAUAAACAAAUAAAAUAAAGGCAUGCUGUCCAUACACAACUACCCCCACUCCAUUUUUUUUUUUUAAAGAUGCAGACAGAAACACAUUAUUUGCAUUACCUAGUCUGGGUGCUGCCCCUUGAUGCCACACUACUCAGGGGAAACUUUCUCAGGGUUCUGGCCAUCAUUUUAUUACCUGCUCAAAGUGCAAAACUGUUCAGUUCAUGUACCAGUCAGUCCCCACAUGGAUGCAUGACCACCCAGUGGAUUAGUGUCAUUCUGGACAUUAAAAGUGCAAGGACAGUGCCAAUUCUACAUUUAGGGACAUAAUUAGAAACCUUUCCAUAUCCCUGGUCCAAGCUGCUGAAAGAUACACCAGCUCAUCUGACCAUCUCAUGUCAAUGCAGACAUACAGAGCAAGUUUAUACACAGGAUGUAUAGUAAUAAUAAGCAUCAGCCUUUUAUGAGGC